rnacentral:rRNA from 1 species
UGGUGGAGUGAUUUGUCUGGUUAAUUCCGAUAACGAACGAGACCUUAACCUGCUAAAUAGCCAGGCCGGCUUUCGCUGGUCGCCGGCUUCUUAGAGGGACUGUCAGCGUCUAGCUGACGGAAGUUUGAGGCAAUAACA